rnacentral:tRNA from 1 species
GCUAUCCAGCUGGAUAGAGUACUCGGCUACGAACCGAGCGGUCGGAGGUUCGAAUCCUCCCGGAUGCACCA